rnacentral:rRNA from 1 species
GAUGAACGCUAGCUACAGGCUUAACACAUGCAAGUCGAGGGACCGGCGCACGGGUGAGUAACACGUAUCCAACCUUCCCUUUACUCUGGGAUAGCCUUUCGAAAGAAAGAUUAAUACCCUAUCUAACGGAUUGGGAUGCGUUCCCUUAGGUUGUUGGUGAGGUAACGGCCCACCAAGCCUUCUAUGGAUAGGGGUUCUGAGAGGAAGGUCCCCCACAUCUGAACGGAGACACGGUCCAAACUCCGAGGGGAGGCAGAAGUGAGGAAGAUUGGUCAAGGGGCGUUAGCCUGAACCAGCCAAGUAGCGUGAAGGAGGAAGGCUUAUGGGUCGUAAACUGUUUGUAUAUAAGAAUAUGUAUUAUAUGAAUAAGGAUAGGCUAACUCCGUGCCAGCCGCCGCGGUAAUUC